AACGAACGCUGGCGGCAGGCUUAACACAUGCAAGUCGAACGCAUCGCAAGAUGAGUGGCAGACGGGUGAGUAACGCGUGGGAACAUACCCUUUUCUACGGAAUAGCUCUGGGAAACUGGAAUUAAUACCGUAUACGCCCUACGGGGGAAAGAUUUAUCGGGGAAGGAUUGGCCCGCGUUGGAUUAGCUAGUUGGUGGGGUAAAGGCCUACCAAGGCGACGAUCCAUAGCUGGUCUGAGAGGAUGAUCAGCCACAUUGGGACUGAGACACGGCCCAAACUCCUACGGGAGGCAGCAGUGGGGAAUAUUGGACAAUGGGCGCAAGCCUGAUCCAGCCAUGCCGCGUGAGUGAUGAAGGCCUUAGGGUUGUAAAGCUCUUUCACCGAUGAAGAUAAUGACGGUUGUCGGAGAAGAAGCCCCGGCUAACUUCGUGCCAGCAGCCGCUGUAACAC
rnacentral:rRNA from 1 species